rnacentral:rRNA from 1 species
GAAUAUUGGGCAAUGCCCGCAAGGGUGACCCAGCAACGCCGCGUGGAGGAUGAAUGUCGUAAGAUUGUAAACUCCUGUUAGAGGGGAAGAAUAGUACCGGUUGGACCGGUAUAUGACUGUACCCUCAGAGAAAGCCCCGGCUAACUACGUGCCAGCAGCCGCGGUAAUACGAAGGGGGCAAGCGUUGUCCGGAUUUACUGGGUGUAAAGGGCGCGCAGGCGGGAUAAAAAGUCAGUGGUGAAAUCCUACAGCUUAACUGUAGAACUGCAUUUGAGACUUUUAUUCUUGAGUUCGGGAGAGGGAGACGGAAUUCCAGGUGUAGUGGUGAAAUACGUAGAUAUCUGGAAGAACACCAGUUGCGAAGGCGGUCUCUUGGUCCGACACUGACGCUGAGGCGCGCGAGCGUGGGGAGCAAACA